UACAGAGGGUGCAAGCGUUAAUCGGAAUUACUGGGCGUAAAGCGCACGUAGGCGGCUCAGCAAGUCAGGGGUGAAAUCCCGGGGCUCAACCCCGGAACUGCCCUUGAAACUGCUAAGCUAGAAUCUUGGAGAGGCGAGUGGAAUUCCGAGUGUAGAGGUGAAAUUCGUAGAUAUUCGGAAGAACACCAGUGGCGAAGGCGACUCGCUGGACAAGUAUUGACGCUGAGGUGCGAAAGCGUGGGGAGCAAACAGG
rnacentral:rRNA from 1 species